rnacentral:rRNA from 1 species
GGUUGCGAUCAUACCAGCACUAAUGCACCGGAUCCCAUCAGAACUUCGCAGUUAAGCCUGCUUAGGCGAGAGUAGUACUAGGAUGGGUGACCCCCUGGGAAGUCCUCGUGUUGCAACCC